rnacentral:rRNA from 1 species
AUUGAACGCUGGCGGCAGGCUUAACACAUGCAAGUCGAGCGGGGUGAGGUGCUUCGGUACUGAUCCUAGCGGCGGACGGGUGAGUAAUGCUUAGGAAUCUGCCAUUUAGUGGGGGACAACAUUCCGAAAGGAAUGCUAAUACCGCAUACGUCCUACGGGAGAAAGCAGGGGAUCUUCGGACCUUGCGCUAAAUGAUGAGCCUAAGUCGGAUUAGCUAGUUGGUGGGGUAAAGGCCUACCAAGGCGACGAUCUGUAGCGGGUCUGAGAGGAUGAUCCGCCACACUGGGACUGAGACACGGCCCAGACUCCUACGGGAGGCAGCAGUGGGGAAUAUUGGACAAUGGGCGGAAGCCUGAUCCAGCCAUGCCGCGUGUGUGAAGAAGGCCUUUUGGUUGUAAAGCACUUUAAGCGAGGAGGAGGCUACCUGGAUUAAUACUCUAGGAUAGUGGACGUUACUCGCAGAAUAAGCACCGGCUAACUCUAUGCCAGCCGCCGCGGUAAAAC